rnacentral:rRNA from 1 species
CAGUAGCCGCGGUAAGACGAACCGUGCGAACGUUAUUCGGAAUUACUGGGCUUAAAGCGCGUGUAGGCAGAUCGCCACGUCGGUCGCUGAAAUCCCCCGGCUCAACCGGGGAACGGGCGCCGAUACGGGCGGUCUCGAGGGGGGUAGGGGGGACUGGAACUUCCGGUGGAGCGGUGAAAUGCGUUGAGAUCGGAAGGAACGCCCGUGGCGAAAGCGAGUCCCUGGACCCUUUCUGACGCUGAGACGCGAAAGCCAGGGGAGCGAACGGGAUUAGAUACCCCUGUAGUCCCUGUCUCUUAUU